rnacentral:rRNA from 1 species
GGGGAAUUUUGGACAAUGGGCGCAAGCCUGAUCCAGCCAUGCCGCGUGCGGGGAGAAGGCCUUCGGGUUGUAAACCCCUUUCAGGAGGGACGAAGCCUGGCUGGUGAAUAGCCAGUCCAGGUGACGGUACCUCCACAAGAAGCCACGGCUAACUACGUGCCAGCAGCCGCGGUAAUACGUAGGUGGCAAGCGUUGUCCGGAUUUAUUGGGUUUAAAGGGUGCGUAGGCGGCCCUGUAAGUCAGUGCUGAAAUACCCCGGCUUAACCGGGGGGGUGGCAUUGAUACUGGAGGGCUUGAGUAAAGUCGAGGUAGGCGGAAUUGACGGUGUAGCGGUGAAAUGCUUAGAUAUCGUCAAGAACACCGAUAGUGUAGACAGCUUACUAGGCCUUAACUGACGCUGAGGCACGAAAGUGUGGGGAUCAAA